AAUAACAUUCCAUCAGCGGUAGCCUGACAUGAUCUCUUGGUUGGCUGCUGUACAAAUGGGGAUUGCCCUGUGAAACAAAUGGGGUUUUUUUGUGCAAAGAAGCACUGCUUCUCUAUCACUUACACAAGCACUCCUUGCACAAGCUCUAUGACGGUUGAACUUCUUUGCAGAAUACAGUAACUCAACAGGAUUUUGCCCUUGGAUUGUAAACAUGGUCCUGACCAUCUGGAAAGAAAUGAAGAGCUCAGCACACAUCCAAAUACCAGGUCUUUUAUGUGAUGGACUCUGCCUUUCUGUUUGAGCCAGGGCUGGUCUGGAACAGCAAGAGCACCUAUCAUCUUAAUGUGGUAUCAUAAGAUACCGUUCACAGUACAAAAAUAAAGAGGAUGGAGAAUCUUGGAGAAGAAUGGAACAGAAUCCCCUUCUUAGAAAAAUCCAAUCCAUGUAGACAUACUGUAUGUCCCUUCUUCUCUGAGUCAAAAAGCAUGUGCCCUAAGUUCUCAGUCAGUAAUUCGGAUCCUGAUCCUACAAUAUUCAGGCAGUGCUCAGGUGGUACUCAAAAGGUAAGAUUUGGGUUCAUAGAUCUUAGGAACCUUCACAACAUUCCCACCUUUACCUUCCACAUUUCAUAUAAGCAGAUGCUUUUCUGUUCCUGGAAAGAAAGAAAGAAAGAAAGAAAAAAAGUUAAAAAGAAAGAAAGAAAGAAAGAAAGAAAGAAAGAAAGAAAGAAAGAAAGAAAUAAGGAAAGAAAUAAGGAAAGAAAUAAAUAAGGAAAGAAGCUAUCUUCAUUUUUCUUCUUCCUAGGAGUCUGAAAUUUCAAUAUUCCAAUUCAAUUUUAUUUAUACAUUAUAGCACACUCAUGCUGAUUAGCAGUGCGCUUCUUAUCAGUAAAAAUGUCAACCUCUGAGAAUGGGCAGGAUGUUGCUGUGAGUAGUGUGAAUCAUGAGACCAGGAUUAUGUCUAUCUCAAGCUUCCAAGAUAUUUCUGUAAUGAAACUUAAAUCCUUUUUUAAAAGCCCCAAAUCCAUAAAGGGUCUUCAGGGCAGUAAUUUGCAUUGACGCCUUUAUAUUAAAAUAUUCAUGUGUGAAAA
rnacentral:lncRNA from 1 species